rnacentral:tRNA from 1 species
GUUUAUAUAAUUUAAAUAAGAUAUUAGACUGUGACUCUGAUUAUGAGAGUUAAAACCUCUCUAUGGU